UAUCCUACGGGACGCAGCAGUGAGGAAUAUUGGUCAAUGGUCGGGAGACUGAACCAGCCAAGCCGCGUGAGGGAGGAAGGUACAGAGUAUCGUAAACCUCUUUUGUCAGGGAACAAAGGCGGGGACGUGUCCCCGGAUGAGUGUACCUGAAGAAAAAGCAUCGGCUAACUCCGUGCCAGCAGCCGCGGUAAUACGGAGGAUGCGAGCGUUAUCCGGAUUUAUUGGGUUUAAAGGGAGCGUAGGCCGGCUUUUAAGUCAGCUGUGAAAGUCCGCGGCUCAACCGUGGAAUUGCAGUUGAAACUGGG
rnacentral:rRNA from 1 species